rnacentral:rRNA from 1 species
GAUGAACGCUGGCGGCGUGCCUAAUACAUGCAAGUCGAGCGAACAGACGAGGAGCUUGCUCCUCUGACGUUAGCGGCUGACGGGUGAGUAACACGUGGAUAACCUACCUAUAAGACUGGGAUAACUUCGGGAAACCGGAGCUAAUACCGGAUAAUAUAUUGAACCGCAUGGUUCAAUAGUGAAAGACGGUUUUGCUGUCACUUAUAGAUGGAUCCGCGCCGCAUUAGCUAGUUGGUAAGGUAACGGCUUACCAAGGCAACGAUGCGUAGCCGACCUGAGAGGGUGAUCGGCCACACUGGAACUGAGACACGGUCCAGACUCCUACGGGAGGCAGCAGUAGGGAAUCUUCCGCAAUGGGCGAAAGCCUGACGGAGCAACGCCGCGUGAGUGAUGAAGGUCUUCGGAUCGUAAAACUCUGUUAUUAGGGAAGAACAAAUGUGUAAGUAACUAUGCACGUCUUGACGGUACCUAAUCAGAAAGCCCCGGCUAACUACGUG